rnacentral:rRNA from 1 species
AUUGAACGCUGGCGGCGUGCCUAACACAUGCAAGUCGAGCGGUAACAGGUGUAGCAAUACAUGCUGACGAGCGGCGGACGGGUGAGUAACGCUUGGGAAUCUGCCUAUUAGUGGGGGACAACCCGGGGAAACUCGGGCUAAUACCGCAUACGCUCUACGGAGGAAAGCCGGGGACCGCAAGGCCUGGCGCUAAUAGAUGAGCCCAAGUCGGAUUAGCUAGUUGGUAGGGUAAUGGCCUACCAAGGCGACGAUCCGUAACUGGUCUGAGAGGACGACCAGUCACACCGGAACUGAGACACGGUCCGGACUCCUACGGGAGGCAGCAGUGGGGAAUAUUGGACAAUGGGCGAAAGCCUGAUCCAGCGACGCCGCGUGGGUGAAGAAGGCC